GGCGUCAGUGAACAUGAAUACCUCUGGGGCGAAAUCAAGGUGAAAUCUGCAGGGCUCUGAUGACGCUGCGGUGGCUGCUGGAUUGUUCAGUAUUGGAAUCUGCUGAGUUUGUCUGCAAAGCAGGUCACUUUGAACUGCAGUUGCUUCAACUGAGCGGCUGCUGCGGCUGGCCCCUGCUUUUCUUCUUUGUCCCCAGCCAUCUCUGCAUGUCUCAGCUUUGUGGGCUGGGUUGAGUGAAACCGAAGUAGGACAUUUGUGCCCUGUCCCAAAAGGCUGAGAAAGCUGCUGGCUCACUCUGCUCUUCCUUUCCUGGAGUCAAUACCGAGUUUCAAGCGACAGAAGAAGCGACCUGUAUGAAUUUUCUGCAUGAAACAACUCUAGGCUCUUACUGAAGUCUCCUCCAGUUUUCCUAAUUUGAUUGUGCUGUUUCCUGCUGGGACCCAGACUGAUAGAGGGGGCCUUA